GGCCUAUGAAGCAGUUGGGCACAUGUCUGAGAAAGCAGCAUGGCUAAAUGACACAUGGCUCUGCUCUCACCAUGGCUAAUGAAACACAUCCAACUGCAGUGAGCAGCUGUGGUUUUGGAGCUGAAGAACCGUCCGAGUCCAAGAUCUCCUAGCUUCACUACUCCUGUAGCUGUAAUGAAUACAUUGGCUGGCUUGAUGUCUGACGGAGAAAGGAGUCAGGUUAGGACUGUGAGAGAAAACCAUAGUACCCGGACAAAACCCACUGAGACACCCAAAGAACAGAAGCCAGAUUUGAAUCCACAACUUCAGAGCUGUAAGACAGAUGUGCUACCUGUUAAUCAUGCCACCAUGUAGCCAACCAGUCAAACAGUAUUGAGUUGCCACAUUUCUUUUUCACACCUGGUUUUGUAUAAAAAAUAUUUUGUUCUUUUCCAUGAACAAACUAUUUGCCUGCACCAUAAAUUUGUAUUCUUAUACAAAUGAUGGCCAACAAUGCAUGAACAACAAUAAAUCUACUCCCGAAAACACAAA